GAUGAAGAACGUAGCGAAAUGCGAUAAGUAAUGUGAAUUGCAGAAUUCAGUGAAUCAUCGAAUCUUUGAACGCACAUUGCGCCCGCCAGUAUUCUGGCGGGCAUGCCUGUUCGAGCGUCAUUACAACCCUCAGGCCCCCGGGCCUGGCGUUGGGGAUCGGCAGAAGCCCCCUGUGGGCACACGCCGUCCCUCAAAUACAGUGGCGGUCCCGCCGCAGCUUCCAUUGCGUAGUAGCUAACACCUCGCAACUGGAGAGCGGCGCGGCCAUGCCGUAAAACACCCAACUUCUGAAUGUUGACCUCGAAUCAGGUAGGAAUACCCGCUGAACUUAAGCAUAUCAAUAAGCGGAGA
rnacentral:misc_RNA from 1 species